rnacentral:tRNA from 3 species
GCCGGAGUGGUGGAACUGGUAGACACAGGGGACUUAAAAUCCCCCGGCUAUUGCAGCUGUACGGGUUCAAGUCCCGUCUCCGGCA